AGAGUUUGAUCCUGGCUCAGAACGAACGCUGGCGGCGUGCCUGAGACAUGCAAGUCGUGGGAGAAAGUCGGGGCAACCCGGCUAGUAAACCGGCGCACGGGUGAGUAACACGUGGAUAACCUGCCCUGGAGACUGGGAUAACCCGUCGAAAGACGGACUAAUACCAGAUAAGACCACAGACAGUUCGCUGUCCGAGGUAAAAGGUGGCCUCUGCUCCUGCAAGCUAUCACUCCGGGAGGGGUCCGCGGCCUAUCAGCUAGUUGGCGGGGUAACGGCCCACCAAGGCUUAGACGGGUAGCUGGUCUGAGAGGAUGGUCAGCCACACUGGGACUGAGACACGGCUCAGAGUCCUACGGGAUGCAGCAGUCAGGAAUAUUGCGCAAUGGAGGAAACUCUGACGCAGCGACGCCGCGUGGGUGAUGAAGGCCUUCGGGUCGUAAAGCCCUGU
rnacentral:rRNA from 1 species